rnacentral:rRNA from 1 species
UUUCGUGGAGGUCCGAACCCACGAGCGUUGAAAAGCUCGGGGAUGACUUGUGGGUAGCGGUGAAAUUCCAAUCGAGCCCGGAGAUAGCUGGUUCUCCCCGAAAUAGCUUUAGGGCUAGCCUCAAGGUAAGAGAUACGGAGGUAGAGCACUGAAUGUCCUAGGGGGUAUUGCACCUACCGAAGACUAUCAAACUCCGAAUGCCGU